rnacentral:rRNA from 1 species
ACCCGCUGAACUUAAGCAUAUCAAUAAGCGGAGGAAAAGAAACCAACAGGGAUUGCCUCAGUAACGGCGAGUGAAGCGGCAACAGCUCAAAUUUGAAAUCUGGCCCCCUCCGGUGCCCGAGUUGUAAUUUGUAGAGGGUGCUUCGGCUUACGCCACGGUCUAAGUUCCUUGGAACAGGACGUCACAGAGGGUGAGAAUCCCGUACGUGGCCGUGGCCUCCGCCGUGUGAAGCCCCUUCGACGAGUCGAGUUGUUUGGGAAUGCAGCUCUAAAUGGGAGGUAAAUUUCUUCUAAAGCUAAAUAUCAGCCAGAGACCGAUAGCGCACAAGUAGAGUGAUCGAAAGAUGAAAAGCACUUUGGAAAGAGAGUUAAAAAGUACGUGAAAUUGUUGAAAGGGAAGCGCUUGCGACCAGACUUGACCGCGGAUGCUCAGCCGGCCCUCCGGCCGGUGUACUCUUCCGCGGUCAGGCCAGCAUCGGUUUGGGCGGCCGGAUAAAGGCCCCGGGAAUGUGGCUCCCUUCGGGGAGUGUUAUAGCCCAGGGUGCAAUGCGGCCCGCCCGGACCGAGGACCGCGCUUCGGCUAGGAUGCUGGCGUAAUGGUCGUAAGCGGCCCGUCUUGAAACACGG